rnacentral:lncRNA from 1 species
UCCCAACCCCGUCGACAUUGCUAUUUUCGACAUCAAUAAACCGAUGGGUCUAUCGACAUCAUCAACUAUACUAUCAGACCAAUCCGGACAACAUGGGGGUAAGCUCAGCCGGCGCAAAGUGACAAAGGGCGUCUCGUAUGUAGUAGGGCGUACGUAAGUGGAGCAGAUUCCGAGCUGGACCGACCGAUGUAUGGGUGUUGACUAUUGAUCUGAUAUGUCAGGGAUCUAACCCUGUGUGUCAUGUCCAAUAUAGGAGUGUGUUGGACAGCAAUGUGGACGUUUGUUUUCAUAAUUCAUGUUUGCUUGACUGUAUACCGUUUGGAGUUAGGUAGAUCGUUGAAGCUUUAGACCGCCGAUACGAGUGUUGAUCACAUAGCGCCAAGUGGGCUCUGAGCAGCGAGCAGUACGUUGGCAGAUAUUUGUAUGCCUACAGCCCCGGAGAUCCAUAAUCGAUCCCUAAUCAGCGAUGAGAUUCUGUUCCGCUGAUCUACCAGAUAAAGACUCCCAAUUCAAGGCUCAUUGAUUGCACCAAAGAGAUAAGAAGAAACCUGUAACCAUUGAAUAAAGAACUGUUAUCUCUGUGUGUGCGUUUCUUUUUUUUCUUGUCUAUAGAAACUGAGAAGCUCCCAGCAAAUCAUGCAAGCCCUAACUAUCAAACUUUAUCCACUUGCUCGCUACCUACUGCUGUUUGCAACGAGUCGAUCAACCGAAUUCGUUGCUCUUAUCUUCUCAACUACGUGGUACAACGUACUGUUCAUUGUCUGCUGAUAGCAUACAGAGUAACUGGAACUCUCUCCUCGGGUCCAAUGCCUAGUAAAGGACACGAUAUUCACAAUAGAUUGCAUUUGGCUUACUUAAGAGCCGAUAGUACACACAAGUACAAUCGGGAGUCGACUAUAUGAUGCUAAAUUGAUAACCGGUGCUACAUAGAUAGCACAUAGUGACACCUUCCUAUUUCCCUCCAUCCCUGUAUAGCAAAAGCAAAUUAAGUUACAACCGUUAUCUCCUCAAUCAAGAAAAAACUACAGUACGUAGUAAGCACGUAGCUAUCUCCCCUAUCUAGAUCGCUAUCUCCUUCCCUGAAGAUAGCCAAGAAAAAGAAAACAAGGGGGCUGAACUACACAAUCUGCGUGAUAGUGAUCUAUCUGGCGUGCUCGAUGUCGUGAUGAAUGAUAAACUAUCAAAAAUUUUCAGAAUGGUCAGCUCUGAUUUGUUGCUGGGCAUGUUGCUUAUCUAAAACGCUGCACAUCCCCCUCCCCAUAGUUAACUAGUUAACUAUCUUUUCCUAUCUGGCAUGAUAGUAUCUGCUGUUAAACUGGGCUUGUCUAUUUGUUGUACAAAGCAUGGGCUGGUUUAUAAAUGCAGGGAUUUCCUGUUCCAUUUUACUUUCUGUUAUUCUAUGAAGUUUUCGACCACGCCCGCUCCACGGAUGGACCGAUACACACAACCCUAACCCUACGAGCUAGUGACGGCAUCACGUGAUGGGGGUACUCACCCUAACCCUACAUACAUUCAGACAAUCUUCGACAGAUCAAUCAACAUUGUUAUAUGAAUGAAUGAUAUCCGAUUUCAUACGAAAUAAAACAGGAGCAAGGCGCCAUGCGACAACUACCUGCCAUAUCGACACCUUCUUACCGCCAUAAUGGAUCCCCAACUGAUUGACUCUUACACCUACGUAUGUGCCGCGCGCCCACCGAACCUUUUUUCCUCGAAGGAGCUGAGUUGAGUUGAGUCUUGACGCAUGAAUGGGGAUGGAUUGGAUGUAAACGGAGAAAUCGCCGGCUUACCCAAUCGGAUGCUUACGUUGCAACGAAAACCAACCCAACACCGCUCUUUACCAUCUCCAUGUAACGGCGGCGAUGACGGUCAUUUAUUCCUUUUGAGUCUGUCUUCGUCUGGUUGGUUGGUCAAGUGCGACUUGCCUCGUUGUAACGGGAUCUACUAUUUUACUAUGUACGGACGCACUAACGUGGGAAGGAUUACGUCGAUCGGGUCCGUUCACUGCCAAUGAAUGAUGUCCUCUUGGUUUCGCAACGAGGAGGACAAAUGGGAAGAGAAACGCGGGCGCUGAUUGAUCGGUUUUCUCGUCGAAUUUAUCCGAUGUACUACCUACGUAUAGUGUAUACAUACGUACAUCGUUAUACGCUAUGCUGGGCCGGGUUGCCUGAUGAUUAACUGGUUAGUUAUCCUGGGUGACCGUUGCGAUUAUCGACCUACCGACCGAACGAAAUACGAGCGAAAGUUAAUACGGACGGCGAUAUUGGACUACGAAUGGAGACCGUGGCGAACACGGCUGGGGCCCCCACACACGAGACAGUCCUUAUGCGGUAUCCUCGAUCGUGAUCAUUUUCGAAUAGUAGUAACCCGGGGACGGGCAUAUCGACGGAGGAUCAGAUCAGGUGCGAUGCGAUGUGGUGCGGUGCGGUGCGAUAUUCAGAAAAAAUAGACGACAACAACACGCGACAACGAUUUUUGAGUCGGCAAGAUGCGACAAGCCAAAAAUUCCCAUGGAAAUCCAACCGUCGAUGUAAUUGGCGGACAUCAUCGGGAUACAACGCUUAAAAGAAGACUAGUCUCCGGCGGGAUUUACGGUCGUUACCAGACCGUGAUUUUGCCAUUGAUACGCCUACUUUCGACUGACGCAGGACUAUUUUGUCCUCAUGAGUCACAGGUAUGUGGACUGCUGCCCAUUCGCGAUAAUUUAUUCAUACAGCUGCGUCAUAUCCGAAAUUCUUGUUCUUCAAGAGAAGAAAAUGAAGUCAAGACAGACCAGAAAGAAGAGUGAGAAUUUGAAGCAAAAGCUAGGCUAGCCGUACGGUAAUCGUAUUGAAGCAAUGCGUAUUGUCAUUACAGCUAAUACAUACCGCCGUAUUGUACCGAUGUAUACGGUACGUAUCACAACAGCACAGAACGUACCGCGGGGUCGCCUCCAAACACCACGGCAUCCAUCUCGAUAGCUUUCCGGAUUGAUUCGAUAUUCGACACAUUCAUUGUCUAGUAUUUUAUGACUGCUUACACUAUUUCCACCCUUUUACUCUAUUACUUUGAAAUAUUGUUUGUUCUCUUGUACUCCGUACGCAUACCGCCAAAUACGUCGUAUGGGCUCCGGACCUACACGCUCCGGACUCCUCCUCCCCCAUUCCAUUAGAACCACAAUCAUAUUAUCAUGCAAGGCAUCACUUGUACCCGGGGUAAACUAGCGAAAAUAACUGCCCACGCCGACUCCUGUUACGUAUAUAUAUAUAUAUAUAUAUAUUUAAUUUUUAAUUUUUUGCUUUUCUCUCCAUGGGACCUGGUCUGUCCCCCUAGGAGAAGGAGGGCGAGGAGUAUGGGGGUUUGAACGAGCUUGGGCUUAAAGGAAAAAAAAAGAAAAAAAAUAUAUAUAUUAUUUAGUUGCGGCUACCGCGCUCGAUCGGAUUGCGCCGAGCUUUUGAGCAUGGAUUUAAUUCCCGAAUAAAUAGCACGGAAGAGCCAAGCAUAGUUUAGUUUGUUGAGUGGCUAGCUAGCUACAUGCAUAAAAUGUUUUUAUAGCUGUGACUUUUGAUAUUGACAAGGAUGGAUAUAAGGCGAUCUUUGGGUGGUAGCCAUACUACGUAGUAUACUUACUACGUACUACAUACAGUACGUAGUAUGCUACGCACUCUGUAUGUACGUAAAUUAUUUUAGAGCUAAUAUUACUACGUCCUCUGUAGUAGGAAAGGUAUACAUUUAUUAUUGAAUUAAAGUCAUAUGCGCCGGCACAUGUGGAUAAUAC